rnacentral:rRNA from 1 species
ACCUACGGGAGGCAGCAGUGAGGAAUAUUGGUCAAUGGGCGAGAGCCUGAACCAGCCAAGUCGCGUGAAGGAUGACGGCCCUACGGGUUGUAAACUUCUUUUGUCAGGGAGCAAUUGGGUCCACGCGUGGGCUUAGCGAGAGUACCUGAAGAAAAAGCAUCGGCUAACUCCGUGCCAGCAGCCGCGGUAAUACGGAGGAUGCGAGCGUUAUCCGGAUUUAUUGGGUUUAAAGGGUGCGUAGGCGGAAUAUCAAGUCGGCGGCAAAAAUUCGGGGCUCAACCCCCUCGUGCCGUUGUAACUGAUGU